GAUAAACGCUGGCGGCGCACAUAAGACAUGCAAGUCGAACGGAAGUCGUUAUAAUGAAACAGAAAUGGAAUUGAAGAUUUAUCGGAUAGGAAGUAGAAGAAGAUUUAUAACAAUGGCUUUAGUGGCGGACUGGUGAGUAACACGUAAGGAACCUGCCUAUCAGAGGGGGAAUAACAGUGAGAAAUCAUUGCUAAUACCGCAUAAGCUAGUAGGAUCGCAUGAUCUAGCUAGAAAAGGAGUAAUCCGCUGAUAGAUGGCCUUGCGCCUGAUUAGCUAGUUGGUGGGGGUAAUGGCCUACCAAGGCGACGAUCAGUAGCCGGACUGAGAGGUUGAACGGCCACAUUGGGACUGAGAUACGGCCCAGACUCC
rnacentral:rRNA from 1 species